GCUUUUAAUCUCCCUGCAACUUGAGAACACACCAAUCCAACAACCAGAUUUACACACAUUUUUACAAUGACUUUAUCCGGGUGUUUAACGUUUCUCAUGCUAUCAGUUUCUGUGGUGCGCAGUCAGACUCUGACUGAGUCUGAACCGGUGGUAAAAAGUCCUGGACAAUCCCACAAACUCACCUGUACGUACACAGGAAUAUCAGAUUCCAGCGCUGAUAUCAGCUGGAUCAGACAGGCUGAAGGAAAAGGACUGGAGUGGGUUUCCUUCAUUUCUGCUCCGAGUGGAAGCACUAAAUAUUAUUCCACGUCAGUCAAGAAUCGCUUCACCAUAUCAAGAGACAAUGAUGUGGACCAGGUGUAUCUGCACAUGAACAGCCUGACAGCUGAAGACUCUGCUGUUUAUUAUUGUGCCAGAGCCCCACAGUGAUACAGGAAGUCAGAGAGCUGUACAAAAACUGCUGCAGAUGUUACUGUGUCUGACUAAUGACUC